rnacentral:rRNA from 1 species
AGCAGCCGCGGUAAUUCCAGCUCCAAUAGCGUAUAUUAAAGUUGUUGCAGUUAAAAGCUCGUAGUUGAAUUUCGGGAUCAAUAUGUUGGUCGUGCCUUGGUACGUACUGGCAUUAUUGGUUUCUACCUUCUGAAGAACCUCGAUGUCAUUAAUUUGGUGUCUUGGGGAAUCAGGACUGUUACUUUGAAAAAUUAGAGUGUUUAAAGCAAGCUAACGCUUGAAUACAUUAGCAUGGAAUAAUGAAAUAGGACGUUCGAUCCUAUUUUGUUGGUUUCUAGGAUUGACGUAAUGAUUAAUAGGGAUAGUUGGGGGCAUUAGUAUUCAAUUGUCAGAGGUGAAAUUCUUGGAUUUAUUGAAGACUAACUACUGCGAAAGCAUUUGCCAAGGAUGUGUUCAUUAAUCAAGAACGAAAGUUAGGGGAUCGAAGACGAUCAGAUACCGUCGUAGUCUUAACCAUAAACUAUGCCGACUAGGGAUCGGAUGAUGUUAAUUUUUAAUGACUCA